GAUGAACGCGGGCGGUGUGCCUAAUACAUGCAAGUCGAGCGAAGAGAUAAUGAGCUUGCUCCUUGGACGUUAGCGGCGGACGGGUGAUUAACACGUGGGUAACCUACGUAUAAGACUGGGAUAUCUUCGGGAAACGGGCGCUACUUCUUGAUAACAUUAUGAACCGCAUGGCUCUACAGAGAGAGGCGGCUAUGCUGUCACUUAGAGCUGGAGCCGCGGCGGAUUAGCUAGUUGGUGAGGUAACGGCUCACCAAGGCAACGAUACGUAGCCGACCUGAGAGGGUGAUCGGCCACACUGGAACUGAGACACGCUCGAGACUACUACGGGAGGCAACAGUAGGGAAUUUUCCGCGAGGGGCGGAAGCCUGACGGAGCAACGCGGCGUGAGUGAUGACGGUCUUCGGAUCGUAAAACUCUGUUAUUAGGGAAGAACAAAUGGGUAAGUAACUGUGCGCGGCUUGACGGUACCUAAUCAGAAAGCCACGGCUAACUACGUG
rnacentral:rRNA from 1 species